AAUAUUGCGCAAUGGAGGGAACUCUGACGCAGCGACGCCGCGUGAACGAUGAAGGUCUUCGGAUCGUAAAGUUCUGUCCUCAGGGAAGAAGGUCUUCGGACUUGACGGUACCUGAGAAGAAAGCCCCGGCUAACUACGUGCCAGCAGCCGCGGUAAUACGUAGGGGGCAAGCGUUGUCCGGAAUUAUUGGGCGUAAAGGGUGCGUAGGCGGCCAUUUAAGUCAGAUGUGAAAGCCCACGGCUUAACCGUGGGAUUGCAUUUGAAACUGGGUGGCUUGAGUAUCGGAGAGGGUAGUGGAAUGCCCAGUGUAGCGGUGAAAUGCGUAGAUAUUGGGAGGAACAUCAGUGGCGAAGGCGACUACCUGGACGAUUACUGACGCUGAUGCACGAAAGCUAGGGGAGCAAACA
rnacentral:rRNA from 1 species